CAAGGUUGACCUCGGAUCAGGUAGGGAUACCCGCUGAACUUAAGCAUACCAAAUAAGCGGAA
rnacentral:rRNA from 1 species